rnacentral:rRNA from 1 species
UUUAAAGAGAGUUUGAUCCUGGCUCAGGACGAACGCUGGCGGCGUGCCUAAUACAUGCAAGUCGAACGAACGGAGGAAGAGCUUGCUCUUCCAAAGUUAGUGGCGGACGGGUGAGUAACACGUGGGCAACCUGCCUGUAAGUUGGGGAUAACUCCGGGAAACCGGGGCUAAUACCGAAUGAUAAAGUGUGGCGCAUGCCACGCUUUUGAAAGAUGGUUUCGGCUAUCGCUUACAGAUGGGCCCGCGGUGCAUUAGCUAGUUGGUAGGGUAAUGGCCUACCAAGGCAACGAUGCAUAGCCGACCUGAGAGGGUGAUCGGCCACACUGGGACUGAGACACGGCCCAGACUCCUACGGGAGGCAGCAGUAGGGAAUCUUCCGCAAUGGACGAAAGUCUGACGGAGCAACGCCGCGUGUAUGAAGAAGGUUUUCGGAUCGUAAAGUACUGUUGUUAGAGAAGAACAAG